rnacentral:rRNA from 1 species
ACCCCAAACCGACACAGGUGGUCAGGUAGAGAAUACCAAGGCGCUUGAGAGAACUCGGGUGAAGGAACUAGGCAAAAUGGUGCCGUAACUUCGGGAGAAGGCACGCUGAUACGUAGGUGAAGUCCCUCGCGGAUGGAGCUGAAAUCAGUCGAAGAUACCAGCUGGCUGCAACUGUUUAUUAAAAACACAGCACUGUGCAAACACGAAAGUGGACGUAUACGGUGUGACGCCUGCCCGGU